UGAUCCAGCCAUGCCGCGUGAGUGAUGAAGGCCUUAGGGUCGUAAAGCUCUUUCGCCUGUGAAGAUAAUGACUGUAGCUGGUAAAGAAACCCCGGCUAACUCCGUGCCAGCAGCCGCGGUAAUACGGAGGGGGUUAGCGUUGUUCGGAAUUACUGGGCGUAAAGCGCGCGUAGGCGGAUUGGAAAGUUGGGGGUGAAAUCCCAGGGCUCAACCCUGGAACUGCCUCCAAAACUAUCGGUCUAGAGUUCGAGAGAGGUGAGUGGAAUUCCGAGUGUAGAGGUGAAAUUCGUAGAUAUUCGGAGGAACACCAGUGGCGAAGGCGGCUCACUGGCUCGAUACUGACGCUGAGGUGCGAAAGUGUGGGGAGCAAACAGGAUUAGAUACCCUGGUAGUCCACACCGUAAACGAUGAAUGCCAGUCGUCGGGUAGCAUGCUAUUCGGUGACACACCUAACGGAUUAAGCAUUCCGCCUGGGGAGUACGGUCGCAAGAUUAAAACUCAA
rnacentral:rRNA from 1 species